GUCCACGCCGUAAACGAUGAAUACUAGGUGUAGGGGUUGUCAUGACCUCUGUGCCGCCGCUAACGCAUUAAGUAUUCCGCCUGGGGAGUACGGUCGCAAGAUUAAAACUCAAAGGAAUUGACGGGGGCCCGCACAAGCAGCGGAGCAUGUGGUUUAAUUCGAAGCAACGCGAAGAACCUUACCUAGACUUGACAUCUCCUGCAUUACCCUUAAUCGGGGAAGUUCCUUCGGGAACAGGAAGACAGGUGGUGCAUGGUU
rnacentral:rRNA from 1 species